UAAGGCAACUCUGGAAAGACUCGCGCCCAGUCGUAGGUGGCGCGGGCGCCGAAGGAGAAAGGUUUCUGCAGGUCAGCAACUGAAGCUCUCAGGCACCCAAGACAGAGCGGGGAGG
rnacentral:ncRNA from 2 species